rnacentral:rRNA from 1 species
AGAGGGGGACUGAGAUACGGCCCCCACUCCUACGGGAGGCAGCAGCAGGGAAUCUUGCGCAAUGGGCUAAAAGGCCUGACGCAGCGACACCGCGUGGGGGAAGAAUGCCUUAGGGUUGUAAACCCCUUUUCUCGGGGAAGAGUGAGGACGGUACCCGAGGAAUAAGCCUCGGCUAACUACGUGCCAGCAGCCGCGGUAAUACGUAGGAGGCGAGCGUUGUCCGGAUUUACUGGGCGUAAAGGGCGAGUAGGCGGCUUGUUAAGUCUCAUGUGAAAUCUCCCGGCUCAACUGGGAGGGGUCAUGGGAAACUGGCAGGCUUGAGGGCAGCAGAGGAAAGUGGAAUUCCCGGAGUAGUGGUGAAAUGCGUAGAUACCGGGAGGAACACCAGAGGCGAAGGCGGCUUUCUGGGCUGUACCUGACGCUGAGGCGCGAAAGCGUGGGGAGCAAACCGGAUUAGAUACCCGGGUAGUCCAUGCCCUAAACGAUGGAUACUAGGUAUGGGGGGUAUCGACCCCCUCCGUGCCGUAGCUAACGCGAUAAGUAUCCCGCCUGGGGAGUACGGCCGCAAGGCUAAAACUCAAAGGAAUUGACGGGGGCCCGCACAAGCAGCGGAGCGUGUGGUUUAAUUCGAUGAUAAGCGAAGAACCUUACCAGGGCUUGACAUGCUUCUGAAAUCCCGUGAAAGCGGGGCCUCCUUCGGGACAGUUGCACAGAUGUUGCAUGGCUGUCGUCAGCUCGUGCCGUGAGGUGUUGGGUUAAGUCCCGCAACGAGCGCAACCCUUGUCGUUAGUUGUAUUUUUCUAGCGAGACUGCCCCUAAAAAAGGGGAGGAAGGUGGGGAUGACGUCAAGUCAGCACGGCUCUUACGCCCUGGGCUACACACACGCUACAAUGGCCGGUACAGAGGGUUGCCAAGGAGCAAUCCGGAGCUAAUCCCAAAAAGCCGGCCCCAGUUGGGAUUGCAGGCUGAAACCCGCCUGCAUGAACGUGGAGCUGCUAGUAACCGCAGGUCAGCACACUGCGGUGAAUACGUUCCCGGGCCUUGUACACACCGCCCGUCACGUCAUGGAAGUCGGCAACACUUGAAGUCGCUGGGCCAACCCCGAUUCGUUGGGGAGGCAGGCGCCGAGGGUGGGGUCGGUGACUGGGACGAAGUCGUAACAAGGUAGCUGUACCGGAAGGUGCGGCU